UUUUUUUACAAAGCGCCUGAACUAGCAGGAGAGCGCCUGGCUAGUUGACGAGGAGGAGGUUUAUCGAGUGUUCGGCGGAUGCCUCCCGGUUGCUCCGUACAACCGUUAGUCCUUUCUUAAAGCACAAAGGCAACUUUGUGUACAAAGGGAAUGGAAAUGCGGAUC
rnacentral:ncRNA from 2 species